GUCAGCAAUUUUGUGGUCAGUCAGAGGCUCGAGGAGACAAAGCUGGACGCCAUCCAUUCCAUCAUCUUCCACGAAGACAAAAUCGGCGCUCUGCAGCCACGUGGAACGCAAAGCGACAACGCAGAACAGCAAGUCGCUAGUCAGGAGCUAAAUGGGAGCGGCAACGAGAAGAACGUGGAAGAAGAGCAGACAGAGAAUCCAGAUCAACCGAAGACGGUAAAGCAGGAAGCGUGCGGGCUGCAACAGCAGCAACAGCACCAGCAAGCGGAUGCUGUGCUGGAUGCAGAGCGAGAGCUUCGACAGCUACGGGAGUCAAAUCGCAAUCAGAGGCAUUGCUUCGAAGAACUAUAUGGGCCACCGCCGGAGGAGACACAAGACGCAGGUUCCGCUGGGGAGGGAGGCAAAGAGCAACCGGCCAGGCUAGAAGACAACGAGGG